rnacentral:rRNA from 1 species
GACGAACGCUGGCGGCGUGCCUAAUACAUGCAAGUCGAACGCAGUGGGGACGGGUGAGUAACACGUGGGUAACCUCCCAUCAGAGGGGAUAACACUUGGAAACAGGUGCUAAACCGAUAUUGAUGGAUGGACCCGCGGUGCAUUAGCUAGUUGGUGAGGUCACGGCUAACCAAGGCCACGAUGCAUAGACGACCCGAGAGGGGGAUGGGGCAAACGGGAAAUGAGAAAAGGAGAAGAAUCCUACGGGAGGGAGCCGUAGGGAAUGGGGGGGAAUGGACGAAAGUCUGACCGAGGAACGGCGCGUGAGUUAGGAAGGAUGUCGUAUCGCAAAACUUUGUUGUUAGAGAAGCGGUAUCUAUUUAGAAUGCCCCGGCUAACUACGUGCCAGCAGCCGCGGUAAUUC